UGGGGAAUAUUGGACAAUGGGCGCAAGCCUGAUCCAGCCAUGCCGCGUGAGUGAUGAAGGCCCUAGGGUUGUAAAGCUCUUUCACCGGUGAAGAUAAUGACGGUAACCGGAGAAGAAGCCCCGGCUAACUUCGUGCCAGCAGCCGCGGUAAUACGAAGGGGGCUAGCGUUGUUCGGAUUUACUGGGCGUAAAGCGCACGUAGGCGGACUUUUAAGUCAGGGGUGAAAUCCCGGGGCUCAACCCCGGAACUGCCUUUGAUACUGGAAGUCUUGAGUAUGGUAGAGGUGAGUGGAAUUCCGAGUGUAGAGGUGAAAUUCGUAGAUAUUCGGAGGAACACCAGUGGCGAAGGCGGCUCACUGGACCAUUACUGACGCUGAGGUGCGAAAGCGUGGGGAGCAAACAUG
rnacentral:rRNA from 1 species